rnacentral:tRNA from 1 species
CGCAGGGUAGAGCAGUCCGGUAGCUCGUCGGGCUCAUAACCCGGAGGUCGUGGGUUCGAAUCCCACCCCUGCAA